rnacentral:rRNA from 1 species
UAGUCAUAUGCUUGUCUGAAAGAUUAAGCCAUGCAUGUCUAAGUAUAAACAUUUAUACUGUGAAACUGCGGACGGCUCAUUAAAUCAGUUAUAAUUUACUUGAUCAUAAUUCUUACUUGGAUAACCGUAGUAAUUCUAGAGCUAAUACAUGCAAAAAUUCCGGUCUCCUUAGAGAUAGGAAUGAAUUUAUUAGAUUAGAACCGGCGCAAGACUUCUGUCUUGAGUUAUGGUGAAUCAUAAUAACUAAUCGAAUCGCAAAGACUUUAUAGUCAGUGAU